AGCAAUCAAUGCCACAAUUAUUUAAAACCUAAGAGGUUUUUCUUUCCAAAAUUUGUCUCUUGCUGAGGAAAUGUGCCUGUAAGCCCAUGCUCACAGAUUGUUGUACAACUGCGGGGAUGAUUCUAAGUAAAACUGUGACUUCAGCCUUUGCCUUGAGCUCCCAAUUCAGCUUCUCUUCCCACGUUCAGAGUGAGUUGGAGAACAGACAGAGAAGAAUCAAUAGUUUAUACAGUGGCCCUUCUCAAAUGGCAUUUGCACUCAAGGACCCUAAGGUUUCCUUUUGGGGAGUAUUAUGUCACAUAAAACAGGAAACUCUUUGGAAAAGCAGCCCAGAAAUUGUUUUGGGAAGAUAUAUUAAAUUAAAGUACAAGUUGGAUUGAGACAUAGAGACACUGAAGAAAGAACAGAUGCAUGGCUACUGGAAUGUAACUGAUAAAUAAUAUCUAAAUUGUCAGUGACAAUGACAAUGGAAGGCAAAGAAACCCACAGGACCAUUUAGAUCUGUGGUAGACUGGACUUAGGAAGAGAAUG
rnacentral:lncRNA from 1 species